rnacentral:tRNA from 1 species
AGAAAGAUAAGCUAACUAAGCUACUGGGUUCAUACCCCAUUUAUAGAGGUUUACCCCUCUUCUCUCUA